rnacentral:rRNA from 1 species
GACGAACGCUGGCGGCGUGCUUAACACAUGCAAGUCGAACGGAAAGGCCCUGCUUUUGUGGGGUGCUCGAGUGGCGAACGGGUGAGUAACACGUGAGUAACCUGCCCUUGACUUUGGGAUAACUUCAGGAAACUGGGGCUAAUACCGGAUAGGAGCUCCUGCUGCAUGGUGGGGGUUGGAAAGUUUCGGCGGUUGGGGAUGGACUCGCGGCUUAUCAGCUUGUUGGUGGGGGAGUGGCUUACCAAGGCUUUGACGGGUAGCCGGCCUGAGAGGGUGACCGGCCACAUUGGGACUGAGAGACGGCCCAGACUCCUACGGGAGGCAGCAGUGGGGAAUAUUGCACAAUGGGCGGAAGCCUGAUGCAGCAACGUCGCGUGCGGGAUGACGGCCUUCGUGGUGUAAACCGCUUUCGCCUGUGACGAAGCGUGAGUGACGGUACUGGGUAAAGAAGCACCGGCUAACUACGUG